rnacentral:lncRNA from 1 species
UCCAGAUUACGCCCUUAAAAAGAUAGAAGACACCUGAGGCUGUUAUGCUUGAUUUGGAUUCUUGGAAAGGUUGCAUGCACACCAGCUAACUGCGGUAGAACAAGUCGAUGAUGAUGAUGAAAAGUUCAUGUAACAUAGAACAUAUGCAUGUUAUACUUGGUUGGCACGUCCAUAUUUGUGGAAAAGAGUGCCUAUUACAUGAAUGUGGUUUACAUCAGAU